rnacentral:lncRNA from 1 species
AUUUCUACCUAUAUUCAGGUAUGUGAUUGCUACUGCUAAUGAAGCGGAGGCUCGAGGUCUCCUAAGGGUUUGAAACUUCUUUCACGGUGGGAAGGGCAUAAAAUUAUUGAAGAGGAUUCGUCAAAUGUAAUAGCUUGGAACCGUAAAGAAUUUAAUGUUCUAUGUAGGCUUAGAGUAUUGUUUCAUAAGAUUAGAACAUCUUUUCUUCUUUCAACGCUAACUGGCAUCAUUGCU